rnacentral:rRNA from 1 species
UCGAACGGUGAAGCCAAGCUUGCUUGGUGGAUCAGUGGCGAACGGGUGAGUAACACGUGAGCAACCUGCCCUGAACUCUGGGAUAAGCGCUGGAAACGGCGUCUAAUACUGGAUAUGAGCUGCGGAGGCAUCUUCGUGGUUGGAAAGAUUUUUCGGUUUGGGAUGGGCUCGCGGCCUAUCAGCUUGUUGGUGAGGUAAUGGCUCACCAAGGCGUCGACGGGUAGCCGGCCUGAGAGGGUGACCGGCCACACUGGGACUGAGACACGGCCCAGACUCCUACGGGAGGCAGCAGUGGGGAAUAUUGCACAAUGGGCGGAAGCCUGAUGCAGCAACGCCGCGUGAGGGAUGACGGCCUUCGGGUUGUAAACCUCUUUUAGCAGGGAAGAAGCGAAAGUGACGGUACCUGCAGAAAAAGCGCCGGCUAACUACGUGCCAGCAGCCGCGGUAAUACGUAGGGCGCAAGCGUUAUCCGGAAUUAUUGGGCGUAAAGAGCUCGUAGGCGGUUUGUCGCGUCUGCUGUGAAAUCUGGGGGCUCAACCCCCAGCCUGCAGUGGGUACGGGCAGACUAGAGUGCGGUAGGGGAGAUUGGAAUUCCUGGUGUAGCGGUGGAAUGCGCAGAUAUCAGGAGGAACA